CAGUCGAACGAAAAGACGGAAAGAGCUUGCUCUUUCCGGAAUUGAGUGGCACACUGGUGAGUAACACGUAAACAACCUGCCUUCAGGAUGGGGACAACAGACGGAAACGACUGCUAAUACCGAAUAAGUUCCAAGAGCCGCAUGGCCCAUGGAAGAAAAGGUGGCCUCUACCUGUAAGCUAUCGCCUGAAGAGGGGUUUGCGUCUGAUUAGCUGGUUGGAGGGGUAACGGCCCACCAAGGCGACGAUCAGUAGCCGGUCUGAGAGGAUGAACGGCCACACUGGAACUGAGACACGGUCCAGACUCCUACGGGAGGCAGCAGUGGGGAAUCUUCCGCAAUGGGCGAAAGCCUGACGGAGCAACGCCGCGUGAGUGAUGACGGCCUUCGGGUUGUAAGACUCUGUGAUCCGGGACGAAAAGGCAGAGUGCGAAGAACAAACUGCAUUGACGGUACCGGAAAAGCAAGCCACGGCUAACUACGUGCCAGCAGCCGCGGUAAUACGUAGGUGGCAAGCGUUGUCCGGAAUUAUUGGGCGUAAAGCGCGCGCAGGCGGCUUCCCAAGUCCCUCUUAAAAGUGCGGGGCUUAACCCCGUGAUGGGAAGGAAACUGGGAAGCUGGAGUAUCGGAGAGGAAAGUGGAAUUCCUAGUGUAGCGGUGAAAUGCGUAGAGAUUAGGAAGAACACCGGUGGCGAAGGCGACUUUCUGGACGAAAACUGACGCUGAGGCGCGAAAGCGUGGGGAGCAAACAGGAUUAGAUACCCUGGUAGUCCACGCCGUAGACGAUGGAUACUAGGUGUAGG
rnacentral:rRNA from 1 species